GAUGAACGCUGGCGGCGUGCCUAAUACAUGCAAGUCGAGCGAACGGACGAGAAGCUUGCUUCUCUGAUGUUAGCGGCGGACGGGUGAGUAACACGUGGAUAACCUACCUAUAAGACUGGGAUAACUUCGGGAAACCGGAGCUAAUACCGGAUAAUAUUUUGAACCGCAUGAUUCAAAAGUGAAAGACGGUCUUGCUGUCACUUAUAGAUGGAUCCGCGCUGCAUUAGCUAGUUGGUAAGGUAACGGCUUACCAAGGCAACGAUGCAUAGCCGACCUGAGAGGGUGAUCGGCCACACUGGAACUGAGGCACGGUCCAGACUCCUACGGGAGGCAGCAGUAGGGAAUCUUCCGCAAUGGGCGAAAGCCUGACGGAGCAACGCCGCGUGAGUGAUGAAGGUCUUCGGAUCGUAAAACUCUGUUAUUAGGGAAGAACAUAUGUGUAAGUAACUGUGCACAUCUUGACGGUACCUAAUCAGAAAGCCACGGCUAACUACGUG
rnacentral:rRNA from 1 species